GCAGUCGAGCGAGCUUGCUUAGAUGAAUUUGGUGCUUGCACCAAAUGAAACUAGAUACAAGCGAGCGGCGGACGGGUGAGUAACACGUGGGUAACCUGCCCAAGAGACUGGGAUAACACCUGGAAACAGAUGCUAAUACCGGAUAACAACACUAGACGCAUGUCUAGAGUUUAAAAGAUGGUUCUGCUAUCACUCUUGGAUGGACCUGCGGUGCAUUAGCUAGUUGGUAAGGUAACGGCUUACCAAGGCAAUGAUGCAUAGCCGAGUUGAGAGACUGAUCGGCCACAUUGGGACUGAGACACGGCCCAAACUCCUACGGGAGGCAGCAGUAGGGAAUCUUCCACAAUGGACGCAAGUCUGAUGGAGCAACGCCGCGUGAGUGAAGAAGGGUUUCGGCUCGUAAAGCUCUGUUGGUAGUGAAGAAAGAUAGAGGUAGUAACUGGCCUUUAUUUGACGGUAAUUACUUAGAAAGUCACGGCUAACUACGUGCCAGCAGCCGCGGUAAUACGUAGGUGGCAAGCGUUGUCCGGAUUUAUUGGGCGUAAAGCGAGUGCAGGCGGUUCAAUAAGUCUGAUGUGAAAGCCUUCGGCUCAACCGGAGAAUUGCAUCAGAAACUGUUGAACUUGAGUGCAGAAGAGGAGAGUGGAACUCCAUGUGUAGCGGUGGAAUGCGUAGAUAUAUGGAAGAACACCAGUGGCGAAGG
rnacentral:rRNA from 1 species